CCUACGGGCGGCAGCAGUGAGGAAUAUUGGUCAAUGGGCGGGAGCCUGAACCAGCCAAGUCGCGUGAGGGAAGACGGUCCUAUGGAUUGUAAACCGCGUUAGGCGGGGAGCAAGGCCGGGCACGCGUGCCCGGAGGGAGAGGACCCGCAGAAGAAGCAGCGGCUAACUCCGUGCAAGCAGCCGCGGGAAUACGGGGGAUGCGAGCGUGCGCCGGAUUGAGUGGGUGGAAAGGGUGCGUAGGCGGAUUUUUAAGUCAGCGGUAAAAUGUCCGGGCUCAACCCGGGCCGGCCGUUGAAACUGGGGAUCUUGAGUGGGCGAGAGGUAUGCGGAAUGCGUGGUGUAGCGGUGACAUCCAUAGAUAUCACGCAGAACUCCGAUUGCGAAGGCAGCAUACCGGCGCCCGACUGACGCUGAGGCACGAAAGCGUGGGGAUCGAACAGGAUUAGAUACCCCGGUAGUC
rnacentral:rRNA from 1 species